AUCAGUACCCGAUUUGCCAUUUUCGGGUAAAAAAAAGGUGUCAGUAACUUCUGGGUACUAAAAUUGUCCAGAAACUAUCUGACCCGAAUUUUAUCUCCUUAGAAAUUCCAAAGAAAUGAAUCCUGGCUUAAAACACAAUCAAAGUUAUCCUCUCCAGAGUCCAAGCUAAGUUCUGUUAAUUCUGGAAAAAAAUCGUUCCCAAGAUCAUCAAAACCCGGGAAUAUACCGUAAUCCGCCGGGUAAUUACCCGAACCCGUAUUUGCUAGCGAAUCCAAGAAUGGGAUAUCCAUCAUCAGUUCAUUGCCAUCUAUGUGCGCAGUCAAAUCUGACACAACCGAAGCACACGGCGACUCUGCUUGCGAUUCCGUCACAACUGAUUGAUCCAUUAAACAAUUAUCCGACUGGGUUCUCCUCGGAGGCUCCGAAUUUGCAAAUCUCGCAGCAGCUGCUUGAAUCUCAUGUGGAGAAAGCGAUCGCCCACCAGCUAUCUCCGGUGGGUUAUCCGGAAAAUUGAAUUUAGCGGUGCGGCCACGUAAGCAAAAGAGUGCUGCAUCAAAGGCACGUGCUGCUUUCUCCGCUGAAUCAUAUGAUCCUAACCAGAUUCGUUCCCUACUGUUUGGUAGGCGGAUCUCGGACACCCACUUCCCCCAUUUUCUCUUGCGGACACCCUUGAAUUUGGAAUCACUCCUCUCGGAGGGUUUCUUCUCAGUCAUGCGUUUCACCAUAAUUUUCCAAGAAAUGCUUUUGUUGCUCUGUGUUUUAGUAGUAAGUGAUGAGAUUGAAUGAUUUUUUUAAG
rnacentral:misc_RNA from 1 species